GACGAACGCUGGCGGCGUGCUUAACACAUGCGAGUCGAACGGAAAGGCCCUGCUUUUGUGGGGUGCUCGAGUGGCGAACGGGUGAGUAACACGUGAGUAACCUGCCCUUGACUUUGGGAUAACUUCAGGAAACUGGGGCUAAUACCGGAUAGGAGCUCCUGCUGCAUGGUGGGGGUUGGAAAGUUUCGGCGGUUGGGGAUGGACUCGCGGCUUAUCAGCUUGUUGGUGGGGUAGUGGCUUACCAAGGCUUUGACGGGUAGCCGGCCUGAGAGGGUGACCGGCCACAUGGGGCCUGAGAUACGGCCCAGACUCCUACGGGUGGCAGCAGUGGGGAAUAUUGCACAAUGGGCGGAAGCCUGAUGCAGCAACGCCGCGUGCGGGAUGACGGCCUUCGGGUUGUAAACCGCUUUCGCCUGUGACGAAGCGUGAGUGACGGUAAUGGGUAAAGAAGCACCGGCUAACUACGUG
rnacentral:rRNA from 1 species